rnacentral:lncRNA from 1 species
GGGCAGCCCUCGCAAGGCAUCAGUUCCAGCUGCAGCAGAUGUGGGAAUCACAUCCCUGACAGGAUCCAUGGAGCUCUCAGUGCCUGUGAUCUUCAGCAAAGCUCGACCCUGGUGGGGGCUGCAGCCCCUGGAGAUGGAAUUUUGGAGAGCUUUCGACGUUGCCUGGAAACCAGUGGAUGCUGUGCCCAUGUGGGGAGCUGGGGAAAUCCCAGAUGAGGUGAACCUGCUGGACAAAAUCACUCUCCAUGCCCAGGACCUCAGCAAUGUUUCCUUUGGCUACGACCACAGCAAGUGCAGGAUCCUGGAGAUUGGGCAGUACGCGACCCUCAACAUCCCCACCAGAGAGGCCUUUGGGGACAGGUAACCUCCCUUCAGGGGUGGGAACGGGCUGCUGGGGCUCAAAAAUCAUCUAAGGCGUGGC